UACGAAGGGGGCUAGCGUUGUUCGGAAUUACUGGGCGUAAAGCGCGCGCAGGCGGUUUUUCAAGUCAGUGGUGAAAGCCCGGAGCUCAAACUCCGGAACUGCCAUUGAAACUGUGAAACUUGAGGAUGAGAGAGGUGAGGUGGAAUUCCCAGUGUAGAGGUGAAAUUCGAUAGAUAUUGGGAAGAACACCGGUGGCGAAGGCGGCUCACUGGCUCCAGUUUCUGACGCUCAGGCGCGACAGCGUGGGGAUCGAAACAGG
rnacentral:rRNA from 1 species